rnacentral:miRNA from 1 species
UGAGGAAGUCGAUGGCAUUCG